rnacentral:rRNA from 1 species
ACUGAACGCUGGCGGCAUGCUUUACACAUGCAAGUCGAACGGCAGCACGGGUGCUCGCACCUGGUGGCGAGUGGCGAACGGGUGAGUAAUAUAUCGGAACAUGUCCGGAAGUGGGGGAUAACGUAGCGAAAGUUACGCUAAUACCGCAUAUGCCCUGAGGGGGAAAGGAGGGGAUCGUAAGACCUUUCGCUUUCGGAGUGGCCGAUAUCAGAUUAGCUAGUUGGUGAGGUAACGGCUCACCAAGGCGACGAUCUGUAGCGGGUAUGAGAGGAUGAUCCGCCACACUGGGACUGAGACACGGCCCAGACUCCUACGGGAGGCAGCAGUGGGGAAUUUUGGACAAUGGGCGCAAGCCUGAUCCAGCCAUGCCGCGUGAGUGAAGAAGGCCUUCGGGUUGUAAAGCUCUUUCAGCCGGAAAGAAAUCAUGCUUACUAAUACUAAGUGUGGAUGACGGUACCGGAAGAAGAAGCACCGGCUAACUACGUGCCAGCCGCCGCGGUAAAAC